AUUGUGAAUCUUCUAGAGAAUCGGAAGGGGAAACCGUGAACAGGCCUUCGGCCUACAUCACGCCGCACCCCGCUCAAGACAGGCAGACGGGCCGUCGACCUCGCACACUCACCUCGCCGAGCCGAAAGAGAGUGAAUCCGCGCCUGCGCGCUGCUUAUCAAGUGCGCCACUCUAGGCCGGCUGUUACCAUAGAUAUGAGAGCCCAUGAGCGUUCCAUGGGACGAAGGAAAAACUUGUCGGAGUGCAUCAUAGAGAGGAGCUAGAGUGACACCCUCACUUCCGAUUUGAAGCACGACUUCGUUAGACAGACGAGGAAAUAGAGCGGCGGAUUCGGAACAGAGAGGUGUAGGAGGAGGAGUAUAUUUAAGAGAUAAAGUAGCAAUUCGUGUUGGUCAGAUCAAAGUUGGAUCAUUUUUUCCCCCCUCUUUCAAAGCUGCCAAGCUGUCUGGCACAACAGGUUGUAGGCCAAAAAUAAGAAAAUUUCCAGAUGUUAAUAUAGCCGUCUGAGGUUGCCCUUAUUAGGACUUCUUGUUGCUGCUCCAAAUGUAUCACCCUGCCAACACUGUACUNAUUUUCGUUAAAUCAGCAUUAAUAAAAUUUUACUGGAUUGGAGUAGUUUUUAUUGCCUUGUUGUACAACGUUACUUUGUGUUGGCUAAUAAAUGGUUACUACUGCUAUAGUUUUAUCGCUGCAAAGCGAAAGCGAGAAAUGCCAAGUUAGGCGGGAAAUACCAGAAAUAUAGCCUCAAAUAAUUGCUUCCUAGCUCUAUGCGGCGACAGCAUGCGUGGGGUAAAGACUUUUACUGCGCAUGCGCCGCGCGGUGUUAUAAUUGCCCACGGGAUUAAAAUAUAGCAAAUCUCGCGAUGCCUGGAUAACAUUUCGUUAAAGACAAUUCCACGACCAGGUUUCCCCUCACCCCCCCGCAAGAAGAUUCAAGGAUGGCAGCUUCGAUCGCUUUGAACUUGGUCAGGCAGAAUUGGAGGCCAGCCUUGCUGGCACCUCGCUCGGUUCAGGCUAUAACCAACAGCAAAUCCAGGAAUGUGACCUCGGUUCGUAUGGCUUGUACUUGUUAUUUAUGUUUCAAAGACAGAAUGUUGGAUAAUGGUGUUCACGUUUUAUUGCAUCCUGUUCUCUUUCAGGCUCACUAGCAGGCAGAAAUAGACUAUUGAAGUACACCUCAACUACAUAAGCCCCUUAACAGUAUGACUUCCCUGAUAUUGAAAGCAUGUUUGAGAACUCCAUUGAAAUAAUCUAGACCACAGGGAGGUAGUGGGUGUUGCAAGAUUUAGUCCUAGUCAUGUAAUAUUUUCAUGUACACCUGGGAUGGGGAGCAAGCCAGCAUUCUAUUUACACUUGUGCAUGAUCCAUGACUGAAUGGAACAGUUAUAUCCUAGAAGGUUGAAAUAAAACUCAAACGGAAAUUGAGCUGAAAAUAACA
rnacentral:lncRNA from 1 species